UACGUAGGGUGCAAGCGUUGUCCGGAAUUAUUGGGCGUAAAGAGCUCGUAGGUGGUCUGUUGCGUCGGCUGUGAAAACCCGAGGCUCAACCUCGGGCCUGCAGCCGAUACGGGCAGGCUAGAGUUCGGCAGGGGAGACUGGAAUUCCUGGUGUAGCGGUGAAAUGCGCAGAUAUCAGGAGGAACACCGGUGGCGAAGGCAGGUCUCUGGGCAUUAACUGACGCUGAGGAGCGAAAGCAUGGGGAGCGAACAGG
rnacentral:rRNA from 1 species